GCGAACAGACGAGGAGCUUGCUCCUCUGACGUUAGCGGCGGACGGGUGAGUAACACGUGGAUAACCUACCUAUAAGACUGGGAUAACUUCGGGAAACCGGAGCUAAUACCGGAUAAUAUAUUGAACCGCAUGGUUCAAUAGUGAAAGACGGUUUUGCUGUCACUUAUAGAUGGAUCCGCGCCGCAUUAGCUAGUUGGUAAGGUAACGGCUUACCAAGGCAACGAUGCGUAGCCGACCUGAGAGGGUGAUCGGCCACACUGGAACUGAGACACGGUCCAGACUCCUACGGGAGGCAGCAGUAGGGAAUCUUCCGCAAUGGGCGAAAGCCUGACGGAGCAACGCCGCGUGAGUGAUGAAGGUCUUCGGAUCGUAAAACUCUGUUAUUAGGGAAGAACAAAUGUGUAAGUAACUAUGCACGUCUUGACGGUACCUAAUCAGAAAGCCACGGCUAACUACGUGCCAGCAGCCGCGGUAAUACGUAGGUGGCAAGCGUUAUCCGGAAUUAUUGGGCGUAAAGCGCGCGUAGGCGGUUUUUUAAGUCUGAUGUGAAAGCCCACGGCUCAACCGUGGAGGGUCAUUGGAAACUGGAAAACUUGAGUGCAGAGGAGGAAAGUGGAAUUCCAUGUGUAGCGGUGAAAUGCGCAGAGAUAUGGAGGAACACCAGUGGCGAAGGCGACUUUCUGGUCUGUAACUGACGCUGAUGUGCGAAAGCGUGGGGAUCAAACAGGAUUA
rnacentral:rRNA from 1 species